rnacentral:tRNA from 1 species
AAUAAGGUGCCUGAUUAAAGGGCUAAUUUGAUAGAUUAGAUUAUGAAUU